rnacentral:tRNA from 36 species
GGCGCGUUGGCCGAGUGGUUAGGCAGGAGCCUGCAAAGCUUCGUACGGGGGUUCGAUUCCCUCACGCGCCUCCA